rnacentral:rRNA from 1 species
UGGUGGUGUGAAUUGUCUGGUUGAUUCCGUUAACGAACGAGACCUUUACUAGUUAAUAGUCACGGGAAGUGUUUGCGUCAAGGCGCAGCGGGCCAACGUUUGGAAGGAUCCGUUCCCCCAAGUGUUGCCGAUUCCGCUGCGUUGCAUGGCUUCCUGGAAGUACUUCUUACUAGGACUAUCUGUGACAAGCAGAUGGAAGUUGGAGGCCAAAACAA